CCUACGGGUGGCAGCAGUGAGGAAUAUUGGUCAAUGGGCGCGAGCCUGAACCAGCCAAGUAGCGUGAAGGAUGAAGGCCCUACGGGUGGUAAACUUCAUUUAUAAAGGAAUAAAGUGAGGCACGUGUGCCUUUUUGUAUGUACUUUAUGAAUAAGGAUCGGCUAACUCCGUGCCAGCAGCCGCGGUAAUACGGAGGAUCCGAGCGUUAUACGGAUUGAGUGGGUGUAAAGGGUGCGUAGAUGGGUUGUUAAGUCAGUUGUGAAAGUUUGCGGCUCAACCGUAAAAUUGCACUUGAUACUGGCAGUCUUGAGUACAGUUGAGGUAGGCGGAAUUCCUGGUGUAGCGGUGAAAUGCUUAGAUAUCACGAAGAACUCCGAUUGUGAAGGCAGCUUACUAGACUGCCACUGACAUUGAUGCUCGAAAGUGUGGGUAUCAAACAGGAUUAGAUACCCGAGUAGUC
rnacentral:rRNA from 1 species